rnacentral:rRNA from 1 species
UAAACAUUAAUGAUAUCUUACACUCAUCAUUCGCCCGGGUACUACAAGCACCAGCUUAAAACCCAAAGGACUUGGCGGUGCUUAAGAUCCACCUAGAGGAGCCUGUUCUAGAACCGAUAACCCCCGUUCAACCUCACCCUCCCUUGUUAUUUCCGCCUAUAUACCGCCGACGUCAGCCUACCCCUUGAGGGCCUAACAGUAAGCUUAAUUGGUACAGCCCAAAACGUCAGGUCGAGGUGUAGCAUAUGAGAGGGGAAGAAAUGGGCUACAUUCUCUAACAUAGAGAAUACGAAUGAUGUAUUGAAAUAAACAUCUGAAGGAGGAUUUAGUAGUAAGCAAAAAACAUAGUGUUUUGCUGAAACAGGCCCUAAAGCGCGCACACAUCGCCCGUCACUCUCCCCAAGCUCAAAACAUCACAAUGUAUUAAUAAACACCUUUAAUUGCAAAGGGGAGGCAAGUCGUAACAUAGUAAGUGUACCGGAAGGUGCACUUGGAAAAAU